UUUCUCCAGCAGCGCUGAGGAGUGCGACAUUCAGGAAAUGGCAAUGCGGCAGUAAGGAAGGAAUCUGUGCCCUUUAAUGACCUAGAGGAGUAGAUCCACUUCGCCACCUGGACCGGCCAGACUAAUGUGGCCCGGACUCUCAGCUGGACUGACAGGCAAAAUAUCUGUGUCCGUGUACGUUAUUCAUCUGUCACUGGGUCAAGGUCUGUGGGACAGACCCCCUACAGCUGGCGCUCCGUGUGAGGAAUGCUGCGAAGGAUCACGACGGACCCCCCAAAAAUGAAGGUGAAAAGGACCGCAUAGUCAGUGAGUCAGAUACAAAGCUGGAAUAAGAGGAAUGACCACUUCGUCUGACAGACCUGUUGCUGCACACAUCUGUACCCUUCGGUCAACAGAACCCGAUGCAAAGAACAGAAAAGGGAGCGAUGUAGGAGUUCAGACAGGCUGGUGGUGUGUCCAGAAUUUAUUCCUUCCGGUGGGUUCUUGGUCUUGCUGACUUCAAGAAUGAAGCCGCGGACCUUUGCUGCCUAUAUCACCCAAACCUGAAAAGGGAAAGAAGGAUGUGAAGAAAAUAAUAUAGGAGGAGGAAGAAUGACGAAACAGCGGGCAAGAAAAAGAAGAAGACUAGAAAGAGAAGAUGAAGCAGGAUAAAGUGGAGGAGAAAUCGCUUUACUGAAUG